UUGGACAUCCAAGUUAGCAUUUA
rnacentral:miRNA from 1 species